GGCUCCGUAGCUCAGCCUGGUUAGAGCACCGGACUCUUAAAAAAAUCUCUUUAGACAACUAAGGAGAUAUCCGGGUGUCGAGGGUUCAAAUCCCUCCGGGGCCA
rnacentral:tRNA from 1 species